AUUGAACGCUGGCGGCAGGCCUAACACAUGCAAGUCGAGCGGCGCGGCGGACGAGUGAGUACUGACUAGGAAUCUGCCCGGUAGUGGGGUAUCACGUCCGGAAACGGGCGCUUAUACCGCAUGCUAUCAGAUGAGCCUAGGUCGGAUUAGCUAGUUGGUGGGGUAAUGGCUUACCAAGGCGACGAUCCGUAGCUGGUCUGAGAGGAUGAUCAGUCACACUGGAACUGAGACACGGCCCAGACUCCUACGGGAGGCAGCAGUGGGGAAUAUUGGGCAAUGGGCGAAAGCCUGACCGAGCCAUGCCGCGUGAGUGAAGAAGGUUUUCGGAUUGUAAAGCACUUUAGGUUGGGAGGCGUUAUCAACAGAGUAAGCACCGGCUAACUACGUGCCAGCAGCCGCGGUAAUUC
rnacentral:rRNA from 1 species